CGCAUGGUUUCAUUAUUAAAGGAUUCCGGUAAAGGAUGGGGAUGCGUUCCAUUAGGUUGUUGGUGGGGUAACGGCCCACCAAGCCUUCGAUGGAUAGGGGUUCUGAGAGGAAGGUCCCCCACAUUGGAACUGAGACACGGUCCAAACUCCUACGGGAGGCAGCAUG
rnacentral:rRNA from 1 species